rnacentral:rRNA from 1 species
UACGUAGGUGGCAAGCGUUGUCCGGAAUUAUUGGGCGUAAAGCGCGCGCAGGCGGCCUCCUAAGUCCGAUGUGAAAGCCCACGGCUCAACCGUGGAGGGUCAUUGGAAACUGGGGGACUUGAGUGCAGGAGAGAAGAGUGGAAUUCCACGUGUAGCGGUGAAAUGCGUAGAGAUGUGGAGGAACACCAGUGGCGAAGGCGACUCUUUGGCCUGUAACUGACGCUGAGGAGCGAAAGCGUGGGGAGCGAACAGG